AAUAUUGCACAAUGGGCGAAAGCCUGAUGCAGCAACGCCGCGUGUGCGAUGAAGGCCUUCGGGUCGUAAAGCACUUUUCUGAGGGAUGAGCAAGGACAGUACCUCAGGAAUAAGUCUCGGCUAACUACGUGCCAGCAGCCGCGGUAAAACGUAGGAGGCAAGCGUUAUCCGGAUUCACUGGGCGUAAAGCGCGUGCAGGCGGUUCGGUAAGUUGGGCGUGAAAUCUCCUGGCUUAACUAGGAGAGGUCGUUCAAUACUACCGGACUUGAGAGUGAUAGAGGAAGAUGGAAUUCCCGGUGUAGUGGUGAAAUGCGUAGAUAUCGGGAGGAACACCAGUGGCGAAAGCGAUCUUCUGGAUCAUUUCUGACGCUCAGACGCGAAAGCUAGGGUAGUAA
rnacentral:rRNA from 1 species